rnacentral:rRNA from 1 species
UACGUAGGGUGCAAGCGUUAAUCGGAAUUACUGGGCGUAAAGCGUGCGCAGGCGGUUUUGUAAGACCGAUGUGAAAUCCCCGGGCUUAACCUGGGAACUGCAUUGGUGACUGCAAGGCUUGAGUGUGGCAGAGGAGACUAGAAUUCCUGGUGUAGCAGUGAAAUGCGUAGAUAUCAGGAGGAAUACCGAUGGCGAAGGCAGGUCGCUGGGCUGACACUGACGCUCAUGCACGAAAGCGUGGGGAGCAAACAGG